UAAACACAAUAGUUCAAAAACUAUGAAAAAUGGAUCUCCUUUGCUGCAAAUUCUUCAAUUGUCAGUUGCCACCUCGAAAAUAUGAUAGAUAUAAAUCAAUUAUCCAUAAGGAACGAUAAGAGAUCAAAGUAUAUUCUUGGCGUGAAACAUCGUGGCAUCAUUAAUCAGGAUUAAUUUAUGCAUUGCCAUGAAUAAAAGGUCACAUUACGAUCCAUAAAAUUCAUGAAAUCCAUUUGGAACAAUACGAGCUAAAUACGAACUAAAGGGAUUUUAAUUUAAUACAGAUGAGCUUGUGAAAGUCGAGCUAUUUCAAUAAGGAGAAUAUUCAAGAAUCUCAUUAAUCGGAUUACUCGAUGACUUGAAAUACAUUAAUGCUUGCACACACGUUUCCAAGAAUUUAAGAUAUUAAUCACUGUUAUCCUGAGAAUGUUCUCCCUCGAUGAGAAGGAUUGACAAUUUACAUUUACCAUGAAUCCAUGAAACAAGUAUCGAAACGAAAGGAAACCAAAACAUUUCAUGAAAUCAGCAACGUUUUUUAUAUUCAACUCUAAUGGCUUUUUCAUUGUUUUAAUAGAUGUGUAGAUGUGUUUGAAAUUAUAGAAAAAGUUUAAAUAAAUCAUAUAACAUAAUGAAAAGAAAAACUUCUAGAAUAUUUAGAAAUAAAUGGACUGAUGAUAAAUAGAAUGACUAUUGCUAUUGAUUAUUUUAUAUAGAGCAUUACAUUUUAAACAAAGAAACAAAACAAUAUUUAGAAACAUAACUUAUGAAUCAAAAAGUUACAUAAUUUUCCAUGAAAGUGACAUCCACGAAUCUCAUGGAAACGAUUUAUGCGCGAAAUAUUUUUGUCAGUCAAGGGAGAAAGAGGAAGAAGAAUCCCCCUUUCGUCUGGACGCACGUUCUUCGCAUGCAAAUCUCGCGUUCCACGUACGGGAAAGAGCAUACAUAUACAACUAUGUAUACAUGGCGAAAAUAUAAAUUCGAUUGUUAACAAGCUUCGACGAUGUUCAAUAACUAGAAAUUAGAAAAAUGUGAAUUUGUUUCAAUAUAAGAAGAAAGAAAAUAAAGAUAUUGAGUAAAAUAAUUAUAAUAAAAAUCAGAAUAAUGAAAGAUUUUUC